CGGGUGGCAGCAGUGAGGAAUAUUGGACAAUGGGCGCAAGCCUGAUCCAGCCAUGCCGCGUGCAGGAAGACGCAUCUAUGGUGUGUAAACUGCUUUUGUACGGGAAGAAACCCUCCUACGUGUAGGAGCUUGACGGUACCGUAAGAAUAAGGAUCGGCUAACUCCGUGCCAGCAGCCGCGGUAAUACGGAGGAUCCAAGCGUUAUCCGGAAUCAUUGGGUUUAAAGGGUCCGUAGGCGGUUUAAUAAGUCAGUGGUGAAAGCCCAUCGCUCAACGAUGGAACGGCCAUUGAUACUGUUAGACUUGAAUUACUGGGAAGUAACUAGAAUAUGUAGUGUAGCGGUGAAAUGCUUAGAUAUUACAUGGAAUACCAAUUGCGAAGGCAGGUUACUACCAGUGGAUUGACGCUGAUGGACGAAAGCGUGGGGAGCGAACAGGAUUAGAUACCCGGGU
rnacentral:rRNA from 1 species